GGGGGCCCGCACAAKCGGUGGAGCAUGUGGUUUAAUUAGAAGCAACGCGAAGAACCUUACCAGGUCUUGACAUCCUCUGACAAUCCUAGAGAUAGGACGUCCCCUUCGGGGGCAGAGUGACAGGUGGUGCAUGGUUGUYGUCAGCUCGUGUCGUGAGAUGUUGGGUUAAGUCCCGCAACGAGCGCAACCCUUGAUCUUAGUYGCCAGCAUUCAGUUGGGCACUGUAAGGUGACUGCCGGUGACAAACCGGAKGAAGGUGGGGAUGACGUCAAAUCAUCAUGCCCCUUAUGACCUGGGCUACACACGUGCUACAAUGGACAGAACAAAGGGCAGYGAAACCGCGAGGUUAAGCCCAAAUCCCACAAAUCUGUUCUCAGUUCGGAUCGCAGUCUGCAACUCGACCGCGUGAA
rnacentral:rRNA from 2 species